CCUACGGGGGGCUGCAGUGGGGGAUAUUGCACAAUGGGGGGAACCCUGAUGCAGCGACGCCGCGUGGGUGAAGGAGCGUUUCGGCGCGUAAAGCCCUAUCGGCAGGGAAGAAGAUGACGGUACCUGACCCAGAAGCCCCGGCUAACUACGUGCCAGCAGCCGCGUUAAUACGGAGGAUGCGAGCGUUAUCCGGAUUUAUUGGGUUUAAAGUGUGCGUAGGCGGACAGUAAAGUCAGUGGUAAAAAUGCGGUGCGAAACGCCGUACAGCCGUUGAAACUGGCAGUCUUGAGUGGGCGAGAAGUAUGCGGAAUGCGUGGUGUAGCGGUGAAAUGCAUAGAUAUCACGCAGAACUCCGAUUGCGAAGGCAGCAUACCGGCGCCCUACUGACGCUGAGGCACGAAAGCGUGGGUAUCGAACAGGAUUAGAUACCCUGGUAGUC
rnacentral:rRNA from 1 species